UAAAGUGAGUUUAGUUCCUUGCUAGAGUUGGAGGAGUGUGGCUGGUGUGCUGGGCUGGCUGAGGGAGCUACAGGCCCUUGGACAGAGUAAUGCUGGCAGAACCCAGGGGGAAUGUGAAGAAGCUCUGGGCUGGCUGCUGGGACUCCACCAGGACAAGGCCCUGAGCCAUCUUGCCCAUGGGACUUCCAUUGACUUCAGUAACUCGAACAUCUAUGGGAACUCCAGGAAGGACUGGAGUCCAGUGAUUUGCUGAUGGCAAUGGGAGUUCCCCAGAGACGAGCCUUGGGAUCAAGCACUGCCUUUCCAUAGCAGAUUGAUCUCAUUUCGAUUUACCAGUAGUUCCGCUGCAAGCAUACAGUGAAGCUUGUACCACCAUUGAAAAAUAAUAUUUUUUCGUUUUUUAAACAAAAGGCCCCUGCAAAUGAAAACUGUGAAAGCUGAAGAGCCAUCCUUGAAAAGGAAUUGUGAAAAAGCUUCUGCAAGUAACAGUGUCCUGCCAUCAACACUGAAAACAUAGUGGAUGAUGAUCUUAGUGGCAAUACAUCAUCAACGGCCACCAGAUGCAUGCCUCAAGAAGCCCUUGUGUGCCCUGAUAUCACCAGAAGGUUGUGGUAGGCACAGAUUGUUAACUGCUCAUGAUGGGAAUAAUGACAGCAUCUUGGCAGCUAUAGAUAUUUCAUUGUGCAAAGGUGAUCAACCAAUACAGACUAAAUUGAAUUUAUAUCCUCUUACAAAUGGUCUAUGUUUCAGCUAGAGUUGGUUUUCAUUGUACCCGUUCAUUGACUACUCAGCCAUAAUGGACUCUGUUGGGGUUUUGUUUGUUUGUUUUCCAUGUCGUCACUUUGCUACUCAAAGCACAGUUAGACCAGGAGAACAGAUUGGCAACUGAACAUUCAUUGAGUACGGUUUUAAGAAAUGGGAAGAUUGUCAAAGUUUGUUAAAACAGCAUACAUCAGUUCCAGGCAUAAAACAGCAUCCCUUGCAUAGCAAGAGUACAAGAAAACUUGAAACCAAUUGUUUGGCAUGUGUUGUACACAUGCUCUUUUCCAGUCAUUGUACUGCCAUGGCUGAUAAUCAACAGCAUGUUGAAAUACUUUUAAUGAUAUCCAUACUGUGUGCAAGACAUUGCUGUUGGGGAGCAAGAUGAAACACAGAACUCCAGCAAUAAAGGAAAUUACAGUAUGUUCACUUUUCUCAAUGAUUUUCCCUCUUACACUUUCACUAUAGCUGUGUGUCACCUCUGUUGUAGCUUCAGCCUAAAGAAAAGCCACAAAGUAUUUCUGUAACAGUAUUGGGGUGACCAAGCAAAUCAAUGGAAAAUGCCCAGCCAUCUCAUAUUUGGCAAAGAUAGACAUUCUAAAGAGCAUUUCAAGUACAGUAUAUGGAUCAACCUGUUUACAAUCUUCAUUUCUAAACAAAAAGGUUCCAAGAAACUGACUGCUAAAAAUAAACAGCUUUAUAGCCAUUGGAGAUAGAUUCAUGGCUCGUCAUGAUCCAUUGAACACUGAAUGUGGAUAAAA